rnacentral:rRNA from 1 species
AACGAACGCUGGCGGCACGCCUAACACAUGCAAGUCGAACGCCCUCAGCAAUGGGGGAGUGGCGGACGGGUGAGUAACGCGUGGGAACCUGCCCAGAGGUGCGGGACAACUUCGGGAAACCGGAGCUAAUACCGCAUGAUGCCGUGGCGACACGGCUAAAGAUUCAUCGCCUUUGGAGGGGCCCGCGUCGGAUUAGGUAGUUGGUGGGGUAACGGCCUACCAAGCCUUCGAUCCGUAGCUGGUCUGAGAGGAUGGCCAGCCACACUGGGACUGAGACACGGCCCAGACUCCUACGGGAGGCAGCAGUGGGGAAUCUUGGACAAUGGGGGCAACCCUGAUCCAGCGAUGCCGCGUGGGUGAUGAAGGCCUUCGGGUUGUAAAGCCCUUUCGGCGGGGACGAUAGUGACGGUACCCGCAGAAGAAGCCUCGGCUAACUCCGUGCCAGCCGCCGCAGUAAGAC